rnacentral:tRNA from 1 species
GGGCCCGUAGCUCAGCUAGGUAGAGCGCUCGGCUCAUAUGGCGUACCUGAGAUACCGAGCGGUCCGGGGUUCAAAUCCCCGCGGGCCCA